ACGGAGGGGGCUAGCGUUGUUCGGAAUUACUGGGCGCAAAGCGCACGUAGGCGGCUUUGUAAGUUAGAGGUGAAAGCCUAGGGCUUAACCCUGGAAUUGCCUUUAAGACUGCAUCGCUAGAAUUGUGGAGAGGUGAGUGGAAUUCCGAGUGUAGAGGUGAAAUUCGUAGCUAUUCGGAAGAACACCAGUGGCGAAGGCGACUCACUGGCCCGUUACCGACGCUCAGGCGCGACAGCGUGGGGAGCAAACAGGA
rnacentral:rRNA from 1 species